ensembl:lncRNA
UAAUAAAGCAGGCGCCUCCUGCCUGUUUAUCUGAACUGACUGAGAUUCUUUACGCGCAGGUGCAACUAAUCCUUUCAAGAUGUAAUGAAGCUCAAUAAAUCCCCUUUUGCAAUAUCUUCCCUGGUUUUUGAGGCCGAUUUUGCUUUUUGUGAGGAGGAACGUGCAGACCGGCUCUGCACAAUGCUGUAUGUUUAAGCCAUAAGGAGACUGCCCCGUUGUCUCACGUCAGGCUGCCUGGGAUGCAAUUUCCUUUUUCCUGUUCUCAAAAUUAGCUGAUGAGAGCAAGUUCCCCAGUUGUAUUUUGUAGUCUGGAGUCAACAGCCCUGAACAUACUGGGUCUUGAAACAUGGCAGAUCAGGUUUCUGAACAUGGAAGGACCAGACAUUGGACCUUAUUGAAUACAAGCAGAAACCCAGAAGAUACCUGUUCUCAUUUAACAAGGAUAAGUAGCUUGCAGCUUGAAAAUGUUAACUCUGGAAACUCUAUACACAUGCAAGUGCUUACUUAGUACAGAACAACUGGGUAAGUCACUUUUAGAGACACAUCCUUUAGGAUGAUGAUGGCAGACAGACAGUAG